AGUGAACGCUGGCGGUAGGCCUAACACAUGCAAGUCGAACGGCAGCACAGGAGAGCUUGCUCUCUGGGUGGCGAGUGGCGGACGGGUGAGGAAUGCAUCGGAAUCUACUCUUUCGUGGGGGAUAACGUAGGGAAACUUACGCUAAUACCGCAUACGACCUACGGGUGAAAGCCGGGGACCUUCGGGCCUGGCGCGAAAGAAUGAGCCGAUGCCCGAUUAGCUAGUUGGCGGGGUAAGAGCCCACCAAGGCGACGAUCGGUAGCUGGUCUGAGAGGAUGAUCAGCCACACUGGAACUGAGACACGGUCCAGACUCCUACGGGAGGCAGCAGUGGGGAAUAUUGGACAAUGGGCGCAAGCCUGAUCCAGCCAUACCGCGUGGGUGAAGAAGGCCUUCGGGUUGUAAAGCCCUUUUGUUGGGAAAGAAAAGCAGUCGGUUAAUACCCGAUUGUUCUGACGUACCCAAGAAUAAGCACCGCUAAUC
rnacentral:rRNA from 1 species